CUCCCAAUCUGGUUAUUUUGACUUCUAUAUUUCCAGUUUGUUGUGGACCUCUAGCAUGUAAGCUCAUUUGAGCAAGGCCCUCGACACCCUCUGUUCCUGUGCGUCCAACUCAUCUGGUUACAAAUACAUGUCUGUUAGUCCACCUAUUGUACAGCGCUGCGGAAUAUGUUGGCGCUUUAUUACCAAUAAUAAUAAUCACAAUAAUAAUAAUAGCCCAUCAUAAAUAUUUUAACAAUGCAGGAAAUCUUGUCACUUUAUAAAUAAG